rnacentral:rRNA from 1 species
CCCUUAGAUGUCCGGGGCUGCACGCGCGCUACACUGAAGGAAUCAGCGUGCUAAAACCAUUGUCGAAAGGCAUUGGUAAACCCAUUAAAAUCCUACGUGAUUGGGAUCGGGAAUUGCAAUUAUUUCCCUUGAACGAGGAAUUCCCAGUAAGUGUGGGUCAUAAGCUCGCGUUGAUUACGUCCCUGCCCUUUGUACACACCGCCCGUCGCUGCCCGGGACUGAGCCGUUUCGAGAAAAGCGGGGACUGCUGCUGUCGGGGCUUUCGGGCCUUGGCUUCGGUGGAAGCCGCUUUAAUCGCAGUGGCUUGAACCGGGCAAAAGUCGUAACA